rnacentral:rRNA from 1 species
CCUGGUUGAUCCUGCCAGUAGUGAUAUGCUUGUCUUAAAGAUUAAGCCAUGCAUGCCUCAGUACAAACUGUUGUAGAGUGAAACCGCGAAUGGCUCAUUAAAUCGGUUAUGGUUCCUUGGACCUAAAAGUUACUUGGAUAACUGUGGUAAUUCUAGAGCUAAUACAUGCAUUUCAGUCGUGACCCGAAAGGGGAAGGACGCUUUUAUUAGAUCAAAGCCAAUCGGCCGGCUCGCCCGGUCGUUCCGUUUUGGUGACUCUGGAUAACCUUGGGCUGAUCGCACGGUCUCCGCACCGGCGACGUGUCCUUCAAAUGUCUGCCUUAUCAACUGACGAUGGUAGGUUUUGCGCCUACCAUGGUUGUAACGGGUGACGGGGAAUCAGGGUUCGAUUCCGGAGAGGGAGCCUGAGAAACGGCUACCACAUCCAAGGAAGGCAGCAGGCGCGCAAAUUACCCACUCCCGGCACGGGGAGGUAGUGACGAAAAAUAACGAUACGGGACUCAUCCGAGGCCCCGUAAUCGGAAUGAGAACAUUUUAAAUCUCUUAACGAUUACCCAUUAGAGGGCCAGUCUGGUGCCAGCAGCCGCGGUAAUUCCAGCUCUAAUAGCGUAUAUUAAAAUUGCUGCGGUUAAAAAGCUCGUAGUUUGACCUGUGCCCUGCGCUGCCGGUUCACCGCUCGUCGGUGUCCAACUGGCAUGCGUGCGGGGCGUCCUGCCGGUGGGCGCGAGCCGACUGCGGCGGCAGGCGUUCUCGGUCCUGGCUCCGGCGGUGAGCAAUCGCUGUCGGGCCGGGUUCUCGGGGGCGUUGAUGCCCCGUGGAAGGCGGACCCCGAUCUCACCCGCCGCGGUGCUCUUAACUGAGUGUCGUGCGGGCCGGCACGUUUACUUUGAACAAAUUAACGUGCUUAACGCAGGCCUUUGUCUGCCCGAAUACUCUUGCAUGGAAUAAUGGAAUAGGACCUCGGUUCUAUUUUGUUGGUUUUCGGAAGUCGAGGUAAUGAUUAAUGGGGAUUGCCGGGGGCAUCCGUAUUGCGACGUUAGAGGUGAAAUUCUUGGAUCGUCGCAAGACGAACUGGAGCGAAAGCGUUUGCCAAGUAUGUUUUCUUUAAUCAAGAACGAAAGUUAGAGGUUCGAAGGCGAUCAGAUACCGCCCUAGUUCUAACCAUAAACUAUGCCAACUAGCGAUCCGCUGUGUGUCUUAGAUGUCACGGCGGGCAGCCUCCGGGAAACCAAAGUCUUUGGGUUCCGGGGGAAGUAUGGUUGCAAAGCUGAAACUUAAAGGAAUUGACGGAAGGGCACCACCAGACGUGGAGCCUGCGGCUUAAUU